UAGGAACUGUAAAAAAAUACAAUCACUCAGCUGACGGGCAGGCUCCUUAUCGUGGAUGCAGGAGAGGGACCACCGGAAAGAUAAGGUCUCAAGUAGCCUAAGGUGACCUUGAACGGAACUCAUAGCUGAGGAUGCCUUUGAACUUCUGAUUCUCCAGGCUCAACCUCCUGAACACAGUUCCGGGACUACAGGCAUCACCACUGUCCCCAGAAUUUCUUGGCUGUCCUGGACUCACUUCGUAGAGCAAGCUGGCCUCUUCUUCCCUCAGUGCUGGGAUUACAGGCAUGUGCCACCUCUCCAUCUGAGAGACUUCUAACUGGUCAAAAUCCUGAAAAAAGCGUGACUGUGAGGGCUCAACCCUGAAGAAACCCACAAAAACCAAAAAAACCUACAUUCCUCCUCCCACCUCAACAAGGCUCGAGAGCGUGUCAGAGCUGGGAGAAGGCCGAGAUCGCUGGAGGACAGGAAGGAGUGCUGAGAAGUGCCGGGGUCUGGGCAUGACCCGGGAGCUGGACGCCCGAAGUCGCUGUGGUUGCCUGCCCAGGACCUGCAGAAGUCAAGCCAGUCCCAAUUCCAGCAUAGGUAGAAGAGAGGCUCAAAAUGAUCCCCCUCUGGUAGCUGAGGAGCUCCUAGCAAUUUAUGGCUCCUCCAGAAGGUGGAAUAAUUUUUUUAGGGGCGUGGUCACUGGUAGACUCCUCAUGCCCCAGUGGAUGGCCCUUGAUACACUGGCAUAUGGGCAACACUAAUUGGGCUCUGUUACAAAACCAGAUCAAAACAACAGCAACCCCCCCCAACAAAACAAAACAAAACAAAACAAAACAAAACAACAAAGCCCAGGAAGUCUGGCAAGGCACAGGUGGGAUUGGAUGGGGGGAAGGGGGGUGGAUAGGAUGAAAAUACACUGUAAAGUCUGGCAAGGCGGCUCAGCCCUUAAAAAGUUAGGAGCCGUCGCUGCUCCUUCAGAGGACUCAGAUUUCAUUCACAGUACCCACAUAAUGCUCCACAGCCUUCGUUACCUCCAAUUCAAGGGGAUCCAGGGGAUCAUUCAGACAAAACAAUCACACACGUAAACAUUUUUAAAAAUUAUAUUAAAAUAAAAAAAUACAUUGUAUGCACAUACAAAAUACCCAAGUAUAAAUACAAAUAUACUUGUUACUAUUACUACUACUACUAAUAAUAAUAGUAGUGAUGCUCUGAAUGAAAAUGGCCCCCAUAGGCCCAUAUAAAGCGGCAUAAUUAGGAGGUGUGGCCUUGCUGGAGUAGGUGUGACCUUGUUGGAAGAAGUGUUUCACUGGGGGUGGGCUCUGAGGUUUCAAAUGCUCAAGCCAGGCCCAGUGUCUCUCUCUGUUUCUGUUGCCUGUUGAUCCAGAUGUAGAACUUCUGACUCCUUCUUCAGCACCAUGACUGCCUGCAGGCUGCCAUACUUCCCACCAUGAUGACAGUGAACUAACCCUCUGGCCGAUAAGCCAGCCUCGAUUAGAUGAAAUGUUUUUCUUUAUAAGAGUUGCUGUGGUCAUGGUGUUUCUUCACAGCAACAGAAACCCUAAGACAUUAUGAAAAUCUAGAGCUGAAUUUCAGGUCCUUCUUACAGCUGUAGGGGAGGAGAAUGGACAUGGGACAUUUCCCGGACUGGAGGCUUGGCCGAUGGUCAUCCAUCCAGAUUCCUCUGAGUUCUCUUUGUGUCCCAUUUGGGCUUGUGUCUGAGCAGCAUGCUGGGACGUGUGUCCUGGAUCCCCAGAAUCAGCCACAGAAAGUGAGGUUUGGAGAAUAUUCCACUUAUAAAGGGGAGAUGUCACAUCUGCCCCAACCUGCCCCCACCCCCACCCCAUCAGAGAAAAAAAAAUAGCCUGGUGCCCUUGGGACAAAGGAAAGGUCUAAUGCGUCAAAAACUGAAGGCGGGAUAAAAUGACCCCUGCCUGGGAUGGAUGUCAAAGAAGUGUCUCUGGGGAAAUGUCACUCUGCUUCCCUGGAGGGCCCCUGCAAUGGCUAAAUUGGAAAUCUACAUGCCUCCUGUUGCCCUCCUCUCCUCUGUACAUGCACGUGAGCACGUGCCUGCACACGCAUACACACACACACACACACACACACACACACACACACACACAUCUUAAUUGUGU